rnacentral:rRNA from 1 species
AUACGGAGGGUGCAAGCGUUACUCGGAAUCACUGGGCGUAAAGCGCGCGCAGGCGGUCUUUUAAGUUGGAUGUGAAAGCCUACGGCUCAACCGUAGAACUGCAUCCAAAACUAUUAGACUAGAGUGUAGGAGAGGAAGAUGGAAUUAGUUGUGUAGGGGUAAAAUCCGUAGAGAUAACUAGGAAUACCAAAAGCGAAGGCAAUCUUCUGGAACGCUACUGACGCUGAGGCGCGAAAGCGUGGGGAGCAAACAGGAUUAGAUACCCUAGUAGUCC